GGGGGCGAAAUAGGAUCGACGUGCCUAAAAAAAGAUUGCUUUUACUCGGGAUGAUUCCGCCGAUGGCUUGUGCCAUAUGGGUCAAAACAAAGAAACGCAAACGAUAAUAAUCGUUCUGUAGGUCGUUUAGCUUUAGCAGCUUAAUCCUACGCGGCUGGAGGGUGUGCCGGGCAACAGAAAAACCCUCACU
rnacentral:tmRNA from 1 species